rnacentral:lncRNA from 1 species
CACUUGCUUCCUUUUGAGAUGACGAGCAAAAUGUCACUUUUAGUGUGCUUGUUCUUGGUGGUAGUUCAAACCAAAGCUGAAUUACAAUGGAUGUUUGGCCAAUUCUUCGGUUCAAGAGGUUGGCUGGUGGCUGAAAUGGUUUGUUCCCUGGUUUCAUUGGAUGUUAGGGUUAUCAGAAACCACAAUAAAAAACUUGGUCUCGUCAUCCUUGGUGGCAGUUCUACAAACAGCUAAAAUUGCAUCGUGGAUCUUCAGUAGAUUCCAAGAUUGAGUGGGUGGACUUGGAUGUGGAAUGCUUGCAAAUCUACCACUGGAGUUCAUCUAAGUUGGUAAUUUAUCAUUUUCAAUUUAAAGUGAAAUUUUUCGGAAAGUGAUGAUACAUGGGUGGUUCGCUAAAUUUGUAAUGAUAUUAAUGAUUAAAAUAACUCCUCGCAGUCUGAUGUGGACCUGCUGAUUGGUUCGACGGUUUGCUUAGGUAUAAGACAUUAAUUUUUUUUCUAUUUUGUCCAGAUGGCUUCUGCUCGUUGUUCCUUCCUAUUCUGUAUCAAGGUGCUUCAGUUACAGAUUCAAUUUCGGUGGAUCGUAUCAUGGGUCUUUAUCCACUUCGUUGCUUUGAUGAGGUGCAGACACCUGGUUAACUUGAAAAAAUUACUUGGGUCAAAUCUCUUACGUUAACUCUCCUUUUCAGCUAAUGUUGUCUGAUAAAAUUGUUUUGGUAGUUGGGCCGGUUGAUGUUUGCCCAUCUCCGCAGGACGUCAUGCCAAGGGAAUACAUGCUCAAGAAACGUGAGCUGGACCUUUCCUGGGCAACGGACACAAAGAGCCAACGCGGACGAGUACCAUCAGCAAACAAUUCACGAAAUGUGAAGAACUUUCUUCGUUCGUGUUGGGUUUUGGUCGAUCUACCAGCUGCGAAACAUCUUUACAAUGUGUUAAAGACAGAAGAUAGUUUUGGUAGUUUUACAUAAAAAAAAUAUAUAAUCGACUCAUUUAAAGAAAAUUAUAUAAAACGAUUUAACGAUUAAGUUAUGCUACAUUGUUUCACUAAGUAAUCGGAGUUAUAGCGGUUACAGUUAUUAAAAUUCCGAUUGUUUCAAAAAUAGCUUGUUCGAUAAAACAUUCCUUUUUCGAAGUCAGUGUUAGAUUUUAAACAUUACAUGGUUUUCACCGAUUUAUAAGAGAUAUUUUUCUACUGAUUCACAAAUUUGGUAGGGUGUAUAGCUUUCCCACUUUCAUUUUUAUUUUUUACUAAAUUUUUAGUCAAGCAUCGUAUUUAUGAUAAGGCUUCAUUCAGCAUUUUUUUUUUAUUUCGAAAAUAAUUUUGAUUAAGGAUUACUAUGACAAAAGGUAUAAGGUUGAUAUUUACUUGAAAAAUAUUUCCUUUUCUCAAAAACUAGAUGAGGAAAAUUAUGUAAAAUUGAGAAAUUCAAUGAUUUGUUAUAGAUGAAUCUUUCUCCUCCAUGUAUUACACUGUACUUUUUUAAAAUCCGAAAACCAUAUAUCAGAUGAACUGCUUUCGAGGUUGCAAUGAAAAAACAGUGAAAAUUAUUAGAUAAUAAUAUUCAAUUAUAUCCUUGCAGGUGAAGUGGUUAAAAUGGUCAUUGUGCUUGCAUAUCCAUGUGUUGUAUUGUACUCCUUUUCCCUUUAGUUAAAAACCAUGUCAGCCGACUUCCCUUUCUGGUUGCAAUGAAGAAAAAUUUUGAGAGUAAAAAUUAUUAAAUGGAGAAAUCAUUUUCUAUGUUCCUUUUGAAAUAUGUAACAUUUCUUUAUUCUUUACAGGUGAAGAGGUUAAUAAGUUCAUCAAGUUUCCACUUCCGUGUACUGUACUCAUUUAAUCCUUAAACCAUAUGUCUUUACUCUCCUGGUUGUCGAAAAUUAUUAAAAGAGCUUUUUGAUGUUCGUGAUGUGACCUGAGAGGUUUGUGAAGAAGAGUUACAUCUAAGUAACAGCCUGUUGUUCAUGUCUAACAGCAGGAACGGUCGCCGGAGCCUUUUGCGCGCAGAGCAUUGGUGGACUAGGCACUCUAAAGCGAAAUGACGCUAAAGACUUUUCGUUUUGCUUGUAUGGCAUUAAUGAGCAUCACACCGACAGCUCCUAUGGUUAAGGAAAUUACUAACGCCUCAAAGGCAACCAUGCACUUCUUAUGGGUGAAUUUAUUUGUUUAUCACGUAAGCAAUAUAAUCAAAUACUUUUAUGCUUACAAGGUUUUAUUUUUUAAAAUCUAGAUGUAUAAUCAAAUUGGAUUUGAAAGGAUUCUAGUUAAAAAUAUAUACCGAAAGAACUA